UCUCCGUAGGUGAACCUGCGGAGGGAUCAUUACAGAGUUCAUGCCCUAACGGGUAGAUCUCCCACCCUAUGUUAUCAUCACUUUGUUGCUUUGGCGGGCCGUCAGGCCUCGGCUUGGCUACCGGCUCUCACUGGUAAGCGCCCGCCAGAGAACCCCAAACCCUGAAUAUCAGUGUCGUCUGAGUACUAUAUAAUAGUUAAAACUUUCAACAACGGAUCUCUUGGUUCUG
rnacentral:misc_RNA from 1 species